GGGGAGCGUUCUGUAAGCCUGUGAAGGUGUGUCGUGAGGCAUGCUGGAGGUAUCAGAAGUGCGAAUGCUGACAUAAGUAACGAUAAAGCGGGUGAAAAGCCCGCUCGCCGGAAGACCAAGGGUUCCUGUCCAACGUUAAUCGGGGCAGGGUGAGUCGACCCCUAAGGCGAGGCCGAAAGGCGUAGUCGAUGGGAAACGGGUUAAUAUUCCCGUACUUGGUGUUACUGCGAAGGGGGGACGGAGAAGGCUAUGUUGGCCGGGCGACGGUUGUCCCGGUUUAAGCGUGUAGGUGUGUGUUCCAGGUAAAUCCGGUUCACUUUAACACUGAGGCGUGACGACGAGGCACUACGGUGCUGAAGCAACAAAUGCCCUGCUUCCAGGAAAAGCCUCUAAGCAUCAGGUAACAUCAAAUCGUACCCCAAACCGACACAGGUGGUCAGGUAGAGAAUACCAAGGCGCUUGAGAGAACUCGGGUGAAGGAACUAGGCAAAAUGGUGCCGUAACUUCGGGAGAAGGCACGCUGACACGUAGGUGAAGUGAUUUACUCAUGGAGCUGAAGUCAGUCGAAGAUACCAGCUGGCUGCAACUGUUUAUUAAAAACACAGCACUGUGCAAACACGAAAGUGGACGUAUACGGUGUGACGCCUGCCCGGUGCCGGAAGGUUAAUUGAUGGGGUCAGCGCAAGCGAAGCUCCUGAUCGAAGCCCCGGUAAACGGCGGCCGUAACUAUAACGGUCCUAAGGUAGCGAAAUUCCUUGUCGGGUAAGUUCCGACCUGCACGAAUGGCGUAAUGAUGGCCAGGCUGUCUCCACCCGAGACUCAGUGAAAUUGAACUCGCUGUGAAGAUGCAGUGUACCCGCGGCAAGACGGAAAGACCCCGUGAACCUUUACUAUAGCUUGACACUGAACAUUGAGCCUUGAUGUGUAGGAUAGGUGGGAGGCUUUGAAGUGUGGACGCCAGUCUGCAUGGAGCCGACCUUGAAAUACCACCCUUUAAUGUUUGAUGUUCUAACGUGGACCCGUUACCCGGGUUGCGGACAGUGUCUGGUGGGUAGUUUGACUGGGGCGGUCUCCUCCUAAAGAGUAACGGAGGAGCACGAAGGUUGGCUAAUCCUGGUCGGACAUCAGGAGGUUAGUGCAAUGGCAUAAGCCAGCUUGACUGCGAGCGUGACGGCGCGAGCAGGUGCGAAAGCAGGUCAUAGUGAUCCGGUGGUUCUGAAUGGAAGGGCCAUCGCUCAACGGAUAAAAGGUACUCCGGGGAUAACAGGCUGAUACCGCCCAAGAGUUCAUAUCGACGGCGGUGUUUGGCACCUCGAUGUCGGCUCAUCACAUCCUGGGGCUGAAGUAGGUCCCAAGGGUAUGGCUGUUCGCCAUUUAAAGUGGUACGCGAGCUGGGUUUAGAACGUCGUGAGACAGUUCGGUCCCUAUCUGCCGUGGGCGCUGGAGAACUGAGGGGGGCUGCUCCUAGUACGAGAGGACCGGAGUGGACGCAUCACUGGUGUUCGGGUUGUCAUGCCAAUGGCACUGCCCGGUAGCUAAAUGCGGAAGAGAUAAGUGCUGAAAGCAUCUAAGCACGAAACUUGCCCCGA
rnacentral:rRNA from 2 species